CGGCAUCAUUUGACGUUAGCAACAGAAGAAGCACCGGCUAACUCCGUGCCAGCAGCCGCGGUAAUACGGGAGGGUGCGAGCGUUAAUCGGAAUUACGUGGGACGUAAAGCGCAUGCAGGUGGUUUAGUUAAGUCAGAUGUAGAAACGGCCCGGGGCUACCAACCUACCGGAAACUGCUAUUUAGAAACGUGGCAGACUAGAGUACUGUAGAGGGGGUAGAAUUUCAGGUGUAGCGGUGAAAUGCGUAGAGAUCUGAAGGAAUACCGGUGGCGAAGGCGGCCCCCUGGACAGAUACUGACACUCAGAUGCGAAAGCGUGGGGAGCAAACAGGAUUAGAUACCCUGGUAG
rnacentral:rRNA from 1 species